rnacentral:rRNA from 1 species
GGCGAGUGGCGAACGGGUGAGUAAUACAUCGGAACGUGUCCUGGAGUGGGGGAUAGCCCGGCGAAAGCCGGAUUAAUACCGCAUACGAUCUCUGGAUGAAAGCGGGGGACCGAAAGGCCUCGCGCUCAAGGGGCGGCCGAUGGCAGAUUAGCUAGUUGGUGGGGUAAAGGCCUACCAAGGCGACGAUCUGUAGCUGGUCUGAGAGGACGACCAGCCACACUGGGACUGAGACACGGCCCAGACUCCUACGGGAGGCAGCAGUGGGGAAUUUUGGACAAUGGGGGCAACCCUGAUCCAGCAAUGCCGCGUGUGUGAAGAAGGCCUUCGGGUUGUAAAGCACUUUUGUCCGGAAAGAAAACCGCUUCUCUAAUACAGAGGUGGGAUGACGGUACCGGAAGAAUAAGCACCGGCUAACUACGUGCCAGCAGCCGCGGUAAUACGUAGGGUGCGAGCGUUAAUCGGAAUUACUGGGCGUAAAGCGUGCGCAGGCGGUUCGCUAAGACCGAUGUGAAAUCCCCGGGCUUAACCUGGGAACUGCAUUGGUGACUGGCGGGCUAGAGUAUGGCAGAGGGGGGUAGAAUCCACGUGUAGCAGUGAAAUGCGUAGAGAUGUGGAGGAAUACCGAUGGCGAAGGCA